GAUGAACGCUGGCGGCGUGCCUAAUACAUGCAAGUCGAGCGAACGGACGAGAAGCUUGCUUCUCUGAUGUUAGCGGCGGACGGGUGAGUAACACGUGGAUAACCUACCUAUAAGACUGGGAUAACUUCGGGAAACCGUAGCUAAUACCGGAUAAUAUUUUGAACCGCAUGGUUCAAAAGUAAAAGAGGGUCUUGCUGUCACUUAUAGAUGGAUCCGCGCUGCAUUAGCUAGUUGGUAAGGUAACGGCUUACCAAGGCAACGAUGCAUAGCCGACCUGAGAGGGUGAUCGGCCACACUGGAACUGAGACACGGUCCAGACUCCUACGGGAGGCAGCAGUAGGGAAUCUUCCGCAAUGGGCGAAAGCCUGACGGAGCAACGCCGCGUGAGUGAUGAAGGUCUUCGGAUCGUAAAACUCUGUUAUUAGGGAAGAACAUAUGUGUAAGUAACUGUGCACAUCUUGACGGUACCUAAUCAGAAAGCCACGGCUAACUACGUG
rnacentral:rRNA from 1 species